AUUGAACGCUGGCGGCAUGCCUUACACAUGCAAGUCGAACGGCAGCACGGGGCAACCUGGUGGCGAGUGGCGAACGGGUGAGUAAUGCAUCGGAACGUACCUUUCAGUGGGGGAUAACGUAGCGAAAGUUACGCUAAUACCGCAUAUUCUGUGAGCAGGAAAGCAGGGGAUCGCAAGACCUUGCGCUGAUUGAGCGGCCGAUGUCAGAUUAGCUAGUUGGUGAGGUAAAGGCUCACCAAGGCGACGAUCUGUAGCGGGUGUGAGAGGAUGAUCCGCCACACUGGAACUGAGACACGGUCCAGACUCCGACGGGAGGGAGCAGUGGGGAAUUUUGGACAAUGGGGGCAACCCUGAUCCAGCCAUGCCGCGUGAGUGAAGAAGGCCUUCGGGUUGUAAAGCUCUUUCGGCCGGGAAGAAAUCGCACGGGCUAAUACCCUGUGUGGAUGACGGUACCGGAAUAAGAAGCACCGGCUAACUACGUGCCAGCCGCCGCGGUAACAC
rnacentral:rRNA from 1 species